AAGGCCUUUAGAUUAGGCAUACCAAAUUUGGUGUUGAUUUGAAGAAAUCUCUAGGAGGAGUUCGUUAAAAUACAACAUAUGGAAAUGACCAAAAUUACACAAAAUUUGCUCAUAAUAUUACAAAUAACCGACUUCCUGUUGGUUUUAGAAUUUUGCUCCAAGAGUCUUUUUUGUAGGUAUUGGUGUGUUACAUAUGUGUGCCAAUUUUCGUGCAUGUACGUGAAACAUAGCUCGAAGGCUGUUGAUUUUCUUCGUAUAGGUGGCGCUGUCGAGCCAUUUUGCCACACCCUCUUCUGAAUCCUAUAUCAGACGAAAAUUUUCACCUGGUUUUACGCGUGUGCAAAGUUUCAUGACUUUUUGAGCAUGUUUAAGCCCUCAAAAAUGCGAUUCAUUUUGGAGAAGCGGAAGAAUAAGAAUAAUAAUUAAAGCUGCAAGCAGCGAUGAACGGGCCCUCGCACCCGGGCUCACCGCCAUCGUGUGGCUUUAGUAAAAAGGUGAACGUUGAGAAAUAUGCAUUUAAACUCAUAAAUAUAAGUGCAAUAUAUCAAAGUUUAUUCCAUAUGUGUGCCAAUCUUCCUGUUGCCAGCAGGUGGCGCUAUCGUUAUAAUGGAAUAUUGGCCUUCAGAUGUGUUCAAGCCAGGACCCUUAUCACACAUGUGAAGUUUGGGCAAGAUCGGACAUUUUAUGCCUGAGUUAUAACAUCUUUUAUUCCCAUGGCGAGACAUCGAACUUCGUCAUGGCGACAUGGACAUGCCUUUUAACAAAAAUUCAAGAUCUUCACAACUAAACAUCACACAGGUCUUUAGAUUAGACUGACCACAAAAAAGACAUUGAUGUCAUAAAAUUUCUAGGAGUAGUUUGUCACAGUGUAAAAUAUGUCACUUCCAGUUGCCAAUAGGUGGCGCUAUGACUAUAACUGAAUAUUGGCAUGUAGAUCUGUUCAGGUGAAGAGUCUUAUCAAAAAUGUGAAGUUUGGGGCGGAUUGGACAUUGUAUGUGUGAGUUAUAGCACCAUCAUUUUUCAUGGCGAAUCAUCGAAAUUUGUCAGGCCGCCAUGGACACGCCCUUUAACGAAGCCUCAAUUCCUUCGCAAUUUAACAUGGCAAAGGGCUUUAGAUUACACUGACCAAGUUUGGUGUUGAUCUGAAUAAAUCUCUAGGAGGAGUUCGUUAAAGUACAACCCCUGAAAAUGACAAAAACAACACCAAUUUUGCAGGGAAAAUUAAAAAUAACCGACUUCCUGUUGGGAUUCGGAUUUCGUACCAAGAGACUUUUUUGUAGCUAUUGGUGUGUUACAUAUGUUUACCGAUUUUCGUACAUGUAUAUGACAUGUAGCUCGAGGCGCACUCCAUUGAAAAUUUAUAGGUGGCGCUAUCGAGCCAUUUUGCCACACCCAAUGGAAUAUUAGCCUCCAGAUGUGUUCAGGUCAGUACUCUUAUCAAACAUUUGAAGUUUGGGCAAGAUCUGAUAUUUUAUG